GCCUUGAUGGCAUAGUGGUCAAGGCACUCGCCUUAUAAACAGGAGGACGCGGGUUCGAUCCCAGCCAAGGCA
rnacentral:tRNA from 1 species